rnacentral:rRNA from 1 species
CCUACGGGUGGCAGCAGUAGGGAAUAUUGCUCAAUGGGGGAAACCCUGAAGCAGCAACGCCGCGUGGAGGAUGAAGGUUUUCGGAUUGUAAACUCCUUUUGUUAGAGAAGAAAAUGACGGUAUCUAACGAAUCAGCACCGGCUAACUCCGUGCCAGCAGCCGCGGUAAUACGGAGGGUGCAAGCGUUACUCGGUAUAACGGGGCGUAAAGGGCGCUUAGGUGGGUUCUGAAGUCAGAUGGUAAAGCCUAUGGGUUAACCCUAGAACUGCAGUUGAAACUGGUAUUCUUGAGGAUAGGAGAGGUAAGUGGAAUUCUUGGUGUAGGGGUGAAAUCCGUAGAGAUCAAGAGGAAUACUCAUUGCGAAGGCGACCUGCUAGAACGUAACUGACGCUGAUGCGCGAAAGCGUGGGGAGCAAACAGGAUUAGAUACCCGUGUAGUC